rnacentral:tRNA from 1 species
GAUUCAAUAGCUAAGUGCAUAAAGUGAUGGUGUUUGAAGCGAAAGGUACUGGGUUCGAGUCCCAGAUUGAAC